ensembl:lncRNA
AGUCACUAACCAGCACCUCAGAAAGAACUGAAAUCUGUAAAGGAGGUCAUGAAGAAAGGAUAUCUGGAGUCAACUUGGCUCACACAUCUUAGUCCAGAAGAGGCACUGAUUCAGCUGGAUGGGACACAGCACUCAUUGCUGGAGGCCUGAAGUUUCCAAAGAGAUUAAGAUAACUUUGAUGACAUUUCUGGAGGAUGAAGAGCAGCAAUGAUAACUGAGACUAUACGUGUGAGUGCCAUUCAAAAGGGCUUAGGAAAUAUCAGUCACACCCUGAGGGUACAUCUAAUCUGGACUGCACUCCCUGCUCCUAGUCAAUACACAUUUCAUCAUGUCAUCCAAGCUGAUUGCCAAGAAUCCUUCCUACUGAAUCAUAUAUUUCUGAGCUGCCAUCACUCCAAACUGCAUGGCUGCCAUGUUCACAUCUACUGGUGUCAGCACUGCAAAAGGAGAUGAGAAAGAUCCUUAUCCCCAUUUGACAACCCUCUCCUGGACCAGAACAGAAGCACAUGGAUCCUAUCCCUCCUUCUUCCCUCCUUUAGCAAAGUCGGACAUAACUGGAGCAGAAGCUUCAACAGACAUAGCAGCAGACUCCUGUUCAAGUGCUCUGAAGAAGGGUAAGGAAAGUGAGAGUUCAUGUGGUAAAAUAACAAAACAAAUAUCUGAAUGGCCACAGAGUGCAUGUUGUGAUUUGAGAGGUUUGUGGUUUUAAAUAAAGUAUAAAUGAGCAAUAAGAUUAGAAACUUCAUUUGUUAAAGUUUGCAUUUCCC